rnacentral:rRNA from 1 species
GAUGAACGCUAGCGGCAGGCCUAAUACAUGCAAGUCGAACGGUGUCUUCGGACAUAGUGGCGCACGGGUGCGUAACACGUAUGCAACCUACCUUACAUUGGAGGAUAGCCUUUCGAAAGGGAGAUUAAUACCGCAUAAGACAGUAGCUGGGCAUCCAGCAGCUGUUAAAGAUUUAUCGAUGUAAGCUGGGCAUGCGUCCAAUUAGCUAGUUGGUGAGGUAACGGCUCACCAAGGCAAUGAUUGGUAGGGGAACUGAGAGGUCAAUCCCCCACACGGGCACAGAGAUACGGGCCAGACUCCUACGGGAGGCAGCAGUAGGGAAUAUUGGGCAAUGGACGCAAGUCUGACCCAGCCAUGCCGCGUGCAGGAUGAAGGCGUUAUGCGUUGUAAACUGCUUUUAUACAGGAAGAAACGACUCUUGCGAGAGGCAUUGGCGGUACUGUAUGAAUAAGCACCGGCUAACUCCGUGCCAGCCGCCGCGGUAAUAC